AGCACGUAGGUGGGUUUGUAAGUCAGUUGUGAAAGCCUUCCGCUUAACGGAAGAACGGCAUCUGAUACUACAGGGCUUGUGUACGGGAGGGGAGAGUGGAACUUCUGGUGGAGCGGUGAAAUGCGUAGAUAUCAGAAGGAACGCCGGCGGCGAAAGCGACUCUCUGGUCCGAAACUGACGCUGAGUGUGCGAAAGCUAGGGGAGCAAACGGGAUUAGAUACCCCGGUA
rnacentral:rRNA from 1 species